rnacentral:rRNA from 1 species
UACGUAGGUGGCAAGCGUUGUCCGGAUUUAUUGGGUUUAAAGGGUGCGUAGGCGGUCCUAUAAGUCAGUGCUGAAAUAUCCCGGCUUAACCGGGAGGGUGGCAUUGAUACUGCAGGACUUGAGUAGAGUUGAGGUUGGCGGAAUUGACGGUGUAGCGGUGAAAUGCUUAGAUAUCGUCAAGAACACCGAUAGUGUAGACAGCUAACUAAGCUCUAACUGACGCUGAGGCACGAAAGUGUGGGGAUCAAACAGG